AUACUUACCUGGCAGGGGAGAUGCCAUAAUCAUGAAGGUGGUUUUCCCAGGGCGAGCCUUAUCCAUUGCACUCCUGAUGUGCUGACCCCUGUGACUCCCCCAGUUGUGGGAAACUCAACUGCACAAUUUGUGAUAGUAGGAGACUGCAUUAGUGCUCUCCGC